rnacentral:rRNA from 1 species
UACGAAGGGGGCUAGCGUUGCUCGGAAUUACUGGGCGUAAAGGGCGCGUAGGCGGCGACCCAAGCCAGAUGUGAAAGUCCUGGGCUUAACCUGGGGACUGCAUUUGAUACUGGGUUGCUUGAAUUCGGGAGAGGAUAGCGGAAUUCCCAGUGUAGAGGUGAAAUUCGUAGAUAUUGGGAAGAACACCGGUGGCGAAGGCGGCUAUCUGGACCGACAUUGACGCUGAGGCGCGAAAGCGUGGGGAGCAAACAGG